UACGUAGGGGGCAAGCGUUGUCCGGAAUUAUUGGGCGUAAAGAGCUCGUAGGCGGUUUGUCGCGUCUGCUGUGAAAACUCGGGGCUUAACCCCGGGCCUGCAGUGGGUACGGGCAGACUAGAGUGCGGUAGGGGAGACUGGAAUUCCUGGUGUAGCGGUGAAAUGCGCAGAUAUCAGGAGGAACACCGGUGGCGAAGGCGGGUCUCUGGGCAUGUCCUGACGCUGAGGAGCGAAAGUGUGGGGAGCGAACAGG
rnacentral:rRNA from 1 species